GACGAACGCUGGCGGCGUGCUUAACACAUGCAAGUCGAACGGAAAGGCCCUGCUUUUGUGGGGUGCUCGAGUGGCGAACGGGUGAGUAACACGUGAGUAACCUGCCCUUGACUUUGGGAUAACUUCAGGAAACUGGGGCUAAUACCGGAUAGGAGCUCCUGCUGCAUGGUGGGGGUUGGAAAGUUUCGGCGGUUGGGGAUGGACUCGCGGAUUAUCAGCUUGUUGGUGGGGUAGUGGCUUACCAAGGCUUUGACGGGUAGCCGGCCUGAGAGGGUGACCGGCCACAUUGGGCCUGAGAUACGGCCCAGACUCCUACGGGAGGCAGCAGUGCGGAAUAUUGCACAAUGGGCGGAAGCCUGAUGCAGCAACGCCGCGUGCGGGAUGACGGCCUUCGGGUUGUAAACCGCUUUCGCCUGUGACGAAGCGUGAGUGACGGUAAUGGGUAAAGAAGCACCGGCUAACUACGUG
rnacentral:rRNA from 1 species